UGGGGAAUAUUGCACAAUGGGCGCAAGCCUGAUGCAGCCAUGCCGCGUGUGUGAAGAAGGCCUUCGGGUUGUAAAGCACUUUCAGCGGGGAGGAAGGCGUUAAGGUUAAUAACCUUGGCGAUUGACGUUACCCGCAGAAGAAGCACCUGCUAACUCCGUGCCAGCAGCCGCGGUAAUACGGAGGGUGCAAGCGUUAAUCGGAAUUACUGGGCGUAAAGCGCACGCAGGCGGUCUGUCAAGUCGGAUGUGAAAUCCCCGGGCUCAACCUGGGAACUGCAUUCGAAACUGGCAGGCUAGAGUCUUGUAGAGGGGGGUAGAAUUCCAGGUGUAGCGGUGAAAUGCGUAGAGAUCUGGAGGAAUACCGGUGGCGAAGGCGGCCCCCUGGACAAAGACUGACGCUCAGGUGCGAAAGCGUGGGGAGCAAACAGG
rnacentral:rRNA from 1 species